CGGCCUCCCGAAGUGUUGGGAUUACAGGCGUGAGCCACCGCGCCCGGCCUUUCACUUUCAUUUUUCUGAUGAGGAAAUGGAAGCUUGGAUAGGUGAAAGAAAAAGAGACUUGGUAAUUCACUGAGCAUCACCCAAGACCGGGCGCAGACCUACACCCUGGCGUAUAAAAGACGUAGUACUCACGUCAUUCCUGUUUCACAGAUGCACAGACUUACUCUUGGAGAGGCUCCUCCCAAAAGUCACCCAGCUGAUUUUCAUCCACUUGGCUCCCCAAGUUGCUGCUCGACCGCUCUCUGACCUGGAUUCACUGAGGACACAUCAGGCCUUUGCCACGGGCUCCAUGGAGUGGCCGGAGCCCAGGGCUGGAGGAACUCAUGCACAUGUGUCCUGGAGACCUGCAAGAGGACAGCACCAUGGAGAUGACCAGCAACUAAUACCACCCAAAGGUCCACCAACAGGAGAAUGGAUACCCCAGCAGGGGUGCAUGCAUGCAACGGAACACACCACGUACUGGUGAGAGUGAAUCAAUGUCGGUCACACGCAUCAACGCCGAUGAGGCUGAGACUCGUAAUAUCAAAUUUAGAAUUGCAAGUAGCAGAAGGAUCAAAGUUAUAUUUGUAAUAAAGCUUAAACACAAGCAAAUCGAGCACUGUAUUGUUUAGGCACACAUUCACAUUUGGUAAAGACAUAAAGCAAAGCAAGGGAACGAGACAAAAAUGAAAUCCCAGAGUAAUCAGGUGGUCAGGUCUUGGGGGGUGGCGUGGAGUUGGGGAAGGGCAUCAGAGUGGAUCUCACCUCAGCUCCGACUGCUUUGGGAAGUUCUAGUUCUGACAUGGAGUGGUGGGUUCACAGCUGUUUGAUUGCUUGUUAUGCUUUAUAACAAUAUAAACUGCAUAUGUUCAGUUGAAAUAUUUCAUAAUAAAGGUUUUUUAAAAAAGAACAUUGGGCUCAUCUUUCCCAUCAGAUACAGGCAUUUUUGUUUUGAAUUUCUAUUUCCUUUUUUUAAUGAGCAAGGAUCGUUUGCCUCUGAAAAUAUAAAUUAAAAAAAAAAAUAAGGCUGGGCACAGUGGCUCACGCCUGUCAUCCUAGUACUUUGGGAGGCCGAGGUGGGUGGAUCACUUGAAGUCAGGAGUUCGAGACCAGCCUGGGCAACAUGGUGAAACCCCAUCUCUACCAAAAAUAUAAAAAAUUAGCCAGGCGUGGAGGCGUGCGUCUGUAAUCCCAGCUACUUGGGAGGCUGAGGCAGGAGAAUCGCUUGAACCCGGGGGGCAGAGGUUGCACGAGCCGACAUUGUGUCACUGCACUCCAGCCUGGGUGACAGAGCGAGACUCCAUCUCAAAAAUAAAUAAAUUAUUUAAAUAUUUUUUUAGAAAAAGCACUGGAUUUGCAGUUGGGAGCACAAGACUUGGGGUUGCCCCUUCCCACAACCACUGUCAUUGCUGGGACCUCUGCAGCCAUCUCCUCCCGGCCUCCAUCCUCACCCACUCCAUUUCAGUCUCUGUUUGGCCCCCAGCUGAGUUAUCUUUGUAACCAUAAAUGGCAUUCGCUCAUUUUACUGCUUCCUGAAGUCCAAGCCUGUUCUUUUCAACCAUGUUUCUCCCUGUUCCUCUUCACCAUUUGUAUGUAGCCAGAUGUAGAGUUCAUGGAACCAAAAACCUGCCUUCUGCUUCUGUGUCUUUGCUCAAGCUGUACCUGGGAAAAUAAGUCAUCAGGUCUGAGCACCAGCGUCUGGGUCUCAGUGCUCAGCAUGCAAAAGAGACUGGGUUUAGGCUCUGUCACUCACCAUGAAUUCUACACGGAAUGACUUUUCUGUCCCUAAGUGAUCCUUCCAGGCUCAUUUCAGGCAACACCUCUUCCAGGAAGCCUUCCCUGAUAUCCAGCCUUUAUUCUCACAGCUCCUCUGGUAAUCCCUAUCAAAGUACCCUGAGAUUUCCACAGUACUUUGGAAUUUUCUGUGUAUGUGCCUCCUCCACUAGACUACCUACUCCCCAAAGGCAAAAACUGGGUCUUAUUUUGUUUGUCUCAAUAGCAACUGUACCAGCCGUGGCAUGGUGGCACUCAAAUGGUAACGCCCUGAGGGAAAGGUUUUGCCUGUUUUGCUCAUCUAUGUAUUCUAAGUGCCUAGAACACUGCCUGGCAUAUGGUAGCUGUGCUGCAAAUGGUUAUCGAGUGAAUGAAUAAAUGUUAACCUGUACUGAGUACUGAGUAAAGUUCUAUUGCUUGGAAGCUGUGUGAGCUUUGGUGAGACACUUAACGUCUCUGAGCCUCCCUUUCUCCCUCUGUCAAUGGGGAGAUUAAUAGUACUAUUCUUGAAGGAUCACCAUGAGAUUUGGCAGAAAGAUGCAUGUGACAGAGCCUAGAAAAUGGCAGGUGCACAGCCCGCGCUGCUUCAUAUGGAUUUAACCCUGGCCCCAGUGGCCUCAGGCAAAUUCCCAGUGGCUCUGAGGUUGUCCAUCUGAGCUCAGAGUCCCCGCUCAGCCUCCCUGGGUGGUCCAUGGGAAAAGGGGGUCGCAGGUCUGUGCUCCUCCUCCUUAGCCACGGGCCAGUGACCCCUAGGGUCACCUCUGACUGCUGGGUCCGUGGAUCUAUUGUGCAGGGCCUGUUGGUGGCUGGGCAGCCUCACUGAGUCUCCAGAGCCCAGCUGGUCAGUGCAGCCAAGGUCAUGGUCCUCAUUCCUUGAAUGGCUCUUUCUUUAAAUUGACGCAAACUCUUCUUCAGCAGCCACAGGUAGCUCCUAACGCAGCCAGCUGUCUGAGCACUCUCUUAGGUCCCUUUGGGUCCUAAAAUGC
rnacentral:lncRNA from 10 species